GGCAUGGCUGCGCUUAGUUCGGACAGGGAGGGGGGCAGAAAUCUGAGACGACAGAAUAAGGAGCAGCAUGCGAGGAAAGCUACUGAUGUUGAAGAUCUGCUUUCCUCUGAAGAAAAUUAAAGAUAUACUAUGGAAGAUUAUAGAUAAUGAACUUACUAUAAUAGUUAAAACCUAGAUAAGGCCGCAGCAGUAGCGAUGCUCUAGGUGCAUUUAAUCAUCAGUGGGCGUUGAAUAGCAGAUCAGAUUCAAAUCGAAUGAAAAUCAGACAAAUAAGAUUGCAUCGAGAGUUGAUUGUAGUCAUUUAAUGUUAAUAAAUAUCUAAUCAAUAUUUAUAUAACACUUCACACCUAAAGAAAGACCUGCAAACAGUCAGAUUUAGCUCUUGCAUAAUGCAUGUUUCAUUUUAAA